UGAACGCUAGCUACAGGCUUAACACAUGCAAGUCGAGGGGCAGCAUCAUUAAAGCUUGCUUUGAUGGAUGGCGACCGGCGCACGGGUGAGUAACGCGUAUCCAACCUGCCGACAACACUGGGAUAGCCUUUCGAAAGAAAGAUUAAUACCGGAUGGCAUAGUUUUCCCGCAUGGGAUAAUUAUUAAAGAAUUUCGGUUGUCGAUGGGGAUGCGUUCCAUUAGGCAGUUGGCGGGGUAACGGCCCACCAAACCAACGAUGGAUAGGGGUUCUGAGAGGAAGGUCCCCCACAUUGGAACUGAGACACGGUCCAAACUCCUACGGGAGGCAGCAGUGAGGAAUAUUGGUCAAUGGACGAGAGUCUGAACCGGCCAAGUAGCGUGAAGGAUGACUGCCCUAUGGGUUGUAAACUUCUUUUAUACGGGAAUAAAGUGAGCCACGUGUGGCUUUUUGUAUGUACCGUAUGAAUAAGGAUCGGCUAACUCCGUGCCAGCAGCCGCGGUAAUACGGAGGAUCCGAGCGUUAUCCGGAUUUAUUGGGUUUAAAGGGAGCGUAGGCGGGUUGUUAAGUCAGUUGUGAAAGUUUGCGGCUCAACCGUAAAAUUGCAGUUGAUACUGGAUAUCUUGAGUGCAGUGAGGGCAGGCGGAAUUCGUGGUGUAGCGGUGAAAUGCUUAGAUAUCACGAAGAACUCCGAUUGCGAAGGCAGCCUGCUAAGCUGCAACUGACAUUGAGGCUCGAAAGUGUAGGUAUCAAACAGGAUUAGAUACCCUGGUAGUCCACACGGUAAACGAUGAAUACUCGCUGUUUGCGAUAUACAGCAAGCGGCCAAGCGAAAGCGUUAAGUAUUCCACCUGGGGAGUACGCCGGCAACGGUGAAACUCAAAGGAAUUGACGGGGGCCCGCACAAGCGGAGGAACAUGUGGUUUAAUUCGAUGAUACGCGAGGAACCUUACCCGGGCUUAAAUUGCAGAUGAAUUACGGUGAAAGCCGUAAGCCGCAAGGCAUCUGUGAAGGUGCUGCAUGGUUGUCGUCAGCUCGUGCCGUGAGGUGUCGGCUUAAGUGCCAUAACGAGCGCAACCCUUGUUGUCAGUUACUAACAGGUUCCGCUGAGGACUCUGACAAGACUGCCAUCGUAAGAUGUGAGGAAGGUGGGGAUGACGUCAAAUCAGCACGGCCCUUACGUCCGGGGCUACACACGUGUUACAAUGGGGGGUACAGAGGGCCGCUACCACGCGAGUGGAUGCCAAUCCCCAAAACCUCUCUCAGUUCGGACUGGAGUCUGCAACCCGACUCCACGAAGCUGGAUUCGCUAGUAAUCGCGCAUCAGCCACGGCGCGGUGAAUACGUUCCCGGGCCUUGUACACACCGCCCGUCAAGCCAUGGGAGCCGGGGGUACCUGAAGUGCGUAACCGCGAGGAGCGCCCUAGGGUAAAACUGGUGACUGG
rnacentral:rRNA from 1 species